GAUGAACGCUGGCGGCGUGCCUAAUACAUGCAAGUCGAGCGAACGGACGAGAAGCUUGCUUCUCUGAUGUUAGCGGCGGACGGGUGAGUAACACGUGGAUAACCUACCUAUAAGACUGGGAUAACUUCGGGAAACCGGAGCUAAUACCGGAUAAUAUUUUGAACCGCAUGGUUCAAAAGUGAAAGACGGUCUUGCUGUCACUUAUAGAUGGAUCCGCGCUGCAUUAGCUAGUUGGUAAGGUAACGGCUUACCAAGGCAACGAUGCAUAGCCGACCUGAGAGGGUGAUCGGCCACACUGGAACUGAGACACGGUCCAGACUCCUACGGGAGGCAGCAGUAGGGAAUCUUCCGCAAUGGGCGAAAGCCUGACGGAGCAACGCCGCGUGAGUGAUGAAGGUCUUCGGAUCGUAAAACUCUGUUAUUAGGGAAGAACAUAUGUGUAAGUAACUGUGCACAUCUUGACGGUACCUAAUCAGAAAGCCACGGCUAACUACGUGCCAGCAGCCGCGGUAAUACGUAGGUGGCAAGCGUUAUCCGGAAUUAUUGGGCGUAAAGCGCGCGUAGGCGGUUUUUUAAGUCUGAUGUGAAAGCCCACGGCUCAACCGUGGAGGGUCAUUGGAAACUGGAAAACUUGAGUGCAGAAGAGGAAAGUGGAAUUCCAUGUGUAGCGGUGAAAUGCGCAGAGAUAUGGAGGAACACCAGUGGCGAAGGCGACUUUCUGGUCUGUAACCGACGCUGAUGUGCGAAAGCGUGGGGAUCAAACAGGAUUAGAUACCCUGGUAGUCCACGCCGUAAACGAUGAGUGCUAAGUGUUAGGGGGUUUCCGCCCCUUAGUGCUGCAGCUAACGCAUUAAGCACUCCGCCUGGGGAGUACGACCGCAAGGUUGAAACUCAAAGGAAUUGACGGGGACCCGCACAAGCGGUGGAGCAUGUGGUUUAAUUCGAAGCAACGCGAAGAACCUUACCAAAUCUUGACAUCCUUUGACAACUCUAGAGAUAGAGCCUUCCCCUUCGGGGGACAAAGUGACAGGUGGUGCAUGGUUGUCGUCAGCUCGUGUCGUGAGAUGUUGGGUUAAGUCCCGCAACGAGCGCAACCCUUAAGCUUAGUUGCCAUCAUUAAGUUGGGCACUCUAAGUUGACUGCCGGUGACAAACCGGAGGAAGGUGGGGAUGACGUCAAAUCAUCAUGCCCCUUAUGAUUUGGGCUACACACGUGCUACAAUGGACAAUACAAAGGGCAGCGAAACCGCGAGGUCAAGCAAAUCCCAUAAAGUUGUUCUCAGUUCGGAUUGUAGUCUGCAACUCGACUACAUGAAGCUGGAAUCGCUAGUAAUCGUAGAUCAGCAUGCUACGGUGAAUACGUUCCCGGGUCU
rnacentral:rRNA from 1 species